rnacentral:rRNA from 2 species
GGACCAAGGAGUCUAGCAUGUGCGCGAGUCGUUGGGACUUGCGAAACCUAAAGGCGUAAUGAAAGUGAAGGCCCGCCUUGCGCGGGCCGAGGGAGGAUGGGCCGCGUCACGACGCGGCCCCGCACUCCCGGGGCGUCUCGUUCUCAUUGCGAGAAGAGGCGCACCCAGAGCGUACACGCUGGGACCCGAAAGAUGGUGAACUAUGCCUGGUCAGGACGAAGUCAGGGGAAACCCUGAUGGAGGUCCGUAGCGAUUCUGACGUGCAAAUCGAUCGUCGGAACUGGGUAUAGGGGCGAAAGACUAAUCGAACCAUCUAGUAGCUGGUUCCCUCCGAAGUUUCCCUCAGGAUAGCUGGCGCUCGCUUUUGCGAGUCUCAUCCGGUAAAGCGAAUGAUUAGAGGCAUUGGGGUCGAAACGGCCUCAACCUAUUCUCAAACUUUAAAUGGGUGAGAUCUCCGGCUUGCUCAAACUUGAAGCCGCGAGAUUAACUUAAUAUAAGGAUCAGAGUGCCAAGUGGGCCACUUUUGGUAAGCAGAACUGGCGCUGUGGGAUGAACCAAACGCAGAGUUAAAGCGCCAAAAUCGACGCUUAUGGGAUACCAUGAAAGGCGUU